rnacentral:lncRNA from 1 species
UACUUGUAAACCUCAUCAGUUAUUAAUUAAUGGAGUUUUGAGUAUUCUCUCUCUACUUAUUCUCUUAAUCUCUUUAAUCUUACAUAAAACAGUAUGAUUGUUCUUAAACUUGGUUAGAAACACUCUAAUACACAAAAGUGUAUAUUUAGGAGAGUUUAUAUGAACAGAUUUGAGACUUAGGAGUAUGGGGAGAGAUUUAGAGUAUGAAAGAGACUAGGUAACGAGAUUAAAGAGACUGAGAGACUUAGAGAAUAGAUUAGACUUUCAGAGAACAUGAAGGAGAAGGGUUUCCCCCCUUACUCACUUAAGUGUUUACAAUCACAUAUACAAGGCUUUUAUAUGCCUUUACAUUUCACUCAUAAACCCUACAUCCUAAGGCUGUAAAUGAUGAAUAAAAUGAAUGGACAGGAUGAGAGUAGACAGGUCCUGGUCUUCUUAGUGCAAGCUGGACAGGAUAGGCGCGCCUUGACUGAAUGGAGGGAGGAGAUAGCUUCAUUUGAAUUACACGGCUAGGAUGGAUCCGUGAGUGACUAAGGCUGUAAAGGUAAAGCUCCUUUCCCAAUAGAAGGAGUGGGAAAGCUCAGACUGUUUGAGAAGGACACGGCUGCCUUCUACAUGCCUCAGUUCACUUC